ensembl:lncRNA
AGAAAUUGUCUGAAUUUGUUACGCCUGCGAUUGCACUGCUUUUACAGUGUUUGUGAGCUCUGUAGUGUGUGAGCUGCUGCUAGCUCCGGUUUUGUGCAUCCCAAGCAGAUUUUAGCUAAGUGACCUGGGCUGCAGAUGGACAAUUUCUUUCCAGUCAUUUCACCACAGCCCUUACCAGCACCCUGGUGAUGAAGCAGUGCAGAUGAGCAUGGCUGUUAACCCUCCAAGCAGAACUUUUUGGUUAACUCUGUUGUGCUUGUCCCAGUGGAGAGCCUGGUGGUGGUGGAGGAGCUCUGCCGGGGGUGCUGGGAUCUUCCUUUGGCUCUUGGGGGGAGCUAGCAGAGACAACACUGCUGCUGGAUGUCAGCAAGAACCUCCACUGUACAGAAGCAGUUUGGCUUCAGCCUGUGAAGUGACGUCAGAACCCUGAGAGUCCCUUUCACUUCACCCUGGGUCAGAGCACGAAGGUCCGGAUGCUGGACAGGACUCGCAAGACCACAGCAAAUCCUGUUGGCUUUGCUGCUUGAAUGAUGCAUCUCCAUCUUCCAAUCACAUGAAGCUGAGAGCCCACCUUCCCUGCUUGGUUUUAUCUUCAGCAGAAUGGCAGGGAUUUCAAUGCAAUUUUUCAACUUUCUGGUUACUUAAUUUAAUGUAUCUGAGAUUUUUUUAUUUUUUCUGGC